UCCACAGAUCUUAAACUCCUUGAGGUCAAGAACAGUGAUUUAUUUAUCUCCUUGACCUCCUAGCACCCAGCAAGCUGCCUCAGUAUAAUAGGCUCCUGAGAACAUUUAUGAGUCAGUGAAGAACAGCAUAGGAGAUGAAAGAUCCUACCAAAAAAAAGAUUGUGAAGGAUUAAUGCCUCUCAGCAGAAUUCAAGAAAACCUGUCUUUAUCAGAUGUCUGAGUCCCUUACCAUCAGUAGACAGCUGGGCUUAUCUCCAACAUCUCAGAAAAGAAAAGAAAGAAAGAAUUAACUGAAAUAUUAUUUGCAACUGCUCUGAAAAGUACAAGUAGGAUCAAGUCAUAGAGAACGUCCAAGAGGAAAAAGCCAACCCACCAGGCAACUGGACAGAUGUGGGCUAUGAAGGAAUGCCAUACCCCAAUGCCACAACUGGUAAAAUAAAGCCACAAUGGUCCUUUA